AACGUAGGUUCCGAGCGUUAUCCGGAUUUACUGGGCGUAAAGCGCGUUCAGGCGGUUUGGCAAGUCGGGCAUGAAAUCUCUCGGCUCAACCGGGAGAGGUUGUCCGAUACUUCCAGACUUGAGGGCAGUAGAGGGUGGUGGAAUUCCGGGUGUAGUGGUGAAAUGCGUAAAUAUCCGGAGGAACACCAGUGGCGAAAGCGGCCACCUGGACUGCACCUGACGCUGACACGCGAAAGCUAGGGGAGCGAACGGG
rnacentral:rRNA from 1 species